UGUCAAGUCCUCAUGGCCCUUAUGUCCAGGGCUACACACGUGCUACAAUGGGCGGUACAGACCGAAGCGAAGCCGCGAGGCGGAGCAAAUCGGAAAAAGCCGUCCUAAGUUCGGAUUGCAGUCUGCAACUCGACUGCAUGAAGUUGGAAUCGCUAGUAAUCGUGUAUCAGAAUGAUACGGUGAAUACGUUCCCGGGCCUU
rnacentral:rRNA from 1 species